rnacentral:rRNA from 1 species
AGAGUUUGAUCAUGGCUCAGGACGAACGCUGGCGGCGCGCCUAACACAUGCAAGUCGAACGAGAGAGAAGGAGCUUUGCUUCUUCGAUCGAGUGGCGAACGGGUGAGUAACGCGUGAGGAACCUGCCUCAAANAGGGGGACAACAGUUGGAAACGACUGCUAAUACCGCAUAAGCCCACAGGUCGGCAUCGACCAGAGGGAAAAGGAGCAAUCCGCUUUGAGAUGGCCUCGCGUCCGAUUAGCUAGUUGGUGAGGUAAUGGCCCACCAAGGCGACGAUCGGUAGCCGGACUGAGAGGUUGAACGGCCACAUUGGGACUGAGACACGGCCCAGACUCCUACGGGAGGCAGCA